rnacentral:rRNA from 1 species
GAUGAACGCUAGCGACAGGCUUAACACAUGCAAGUCGAGGGGCAGCAUAAAAGUUACUUCGGUAAUUUUGGUGGCGACCGGCGCACGGGUGAGUAACGCGUAUGCAACCUACCUAUCAGAGGGGGAUAGCCCAUUGAAAGAUGGAUUAAUACCGCAUAAAACAGGGGUCCCGCAUGGGAAUAUUUGUUAAAGAUUUAUUGCUGAUAGAUGGGCAUGCGUUCCAUUAGUUAGUUGGUAUGGGUAACGGCCUACCAAGACAUCGAUGGAUAGGGGUUCUGAGAGGAAGGUCCCCCACACUGGUACUGAGACACGGACCAGACUCCUACGGGAGGCAGCAGUGAGGAAUAUUGGUCAAUGGGCGAGAGCCUGAACCAGCCAAGUCGCGUGAAGGAUGACUGUCCUAUGGAUUGUAAACUUCUUUUAUAGGGGAAUAAAAAGAGUCACGAGUGAUUUAUUGUAUGUACCCUAUGAAUAAGCAUCGGCUAACUCCGUGCCAGCCGCCGCCGUAACAC